rnacentral:other from 2 species
GAUGCUGGGGAUUAAGAGACGUUCAGGAGAAUGUCAGCCAAGAGGCAGGAACGUAACGGAGUUUACGGCACAAGGAAGGCUUCAGGACGAAGCAGGACACUCAGGAUUGAGUCAGGGACACCUCCAGGACGGAGAAUGAGAGCCACGCGGAAUGUGGCGGGCCAGGAUGCUAAGGACCAAUGUCAUGAUGACAAGCGACGGAAAGCGCAGGAAAAGUUGUCAUGGAUGAGCAGGGAGCACAGCAGUAGCUGGAAUGCUGCAAACGAAAACCGGGAGCACUGUAAUCACAGUGCUCCCUUUUUUUAUG